AUACGGAGGGUGCAAGCGUUAUCCGGAAUCAUUGGGUUUAAAGGGUCCGUAGGCGGGCUAAUAAGUCAGGGGUGAAAUCCCACAGCUUAACUGUGGAACUGCCCUUGAUACUGUUGGUCUUGAGUUACAGUGAAGUGGUUAGAAUGUGUAGUGUAGCGGUGAAAUGCAUAGAGAUUACACAGAAUACCGAUUGCGAAGGCAGAUCACCAACUGUAUACUGACGCUAAUGGACGAAAGCGUGGGGAGCGAACAGGAUUAGAAACCCCAGUAGUCC
rnacentral:rRNA from 1 species